rnacentral:rRNA from 1 species
AACGUAGGAGACAAACGUUAUCCGGAGUUACUGGGCGUAAAGGGCGUGUAGGUGGUUUCGUAAGUCUGGCGUGAAAUAUCUCGGCUUAACCGAGGCAGGUCGUCGGAUACUGCGGAACUAGAGGACGGUAGAGGCGUGUGGAAUUCCGGGUGUAGUGGUGAAAUGCGUAGAGAUCCGGAGGAACACCAGUGGCGAAGGCGACACGCUGGGCCGUACCUGACACUGAUGCGCGACAGCAUGGGGAGCAACAGG